AAUGAACGCUGGCGGCAUGCCUAAUACAUGCAAGUCGAACGAAAAGACGGGGAGCUUUCGCCCCUGCCGGUGGCGGGGGACGGAUGGGUAACACGUGGAUAGCCUACCUAUUAGACUUGGAUGAUUACGGCAGACCAGAUCUACUACCCGAUAAUAUAUCGCACCGGAUGGAGCACGAGUGGAAGACGGUUUUUGUGUCAGUUAUAGCUGGAUCCGGGCCGCAUUGUCUAGUGGGUAAAGUAACGGCUUAGCAAGGCUACGAUGCGGAGCCGCCCUGAGAGGGUGAUCGGCCACACUGGAACUGAGACACGGUCCAGACUCCUAGGGGAGGCAGCAGUAGGGAAUCUUCCGCAAUGGGCGAAAGCCUGAUGGAGCAAAACCGCGUGAGUGAUGAAGGAGUUCGGAUCGUAAAGCUCUGUUGUUAGGAAAGAAGAAAAGCGUAUGUAACCAUGAUGGUCUUGACGGUACCCAAAGAAUAAGCCCCGGCUAACUCCGUG
rnacentral:rRNA from 1 species